AAGGAAGUGACAGAGUGGCUAUGUGGCUGGCUUGAAACCAGUAGAUGGGGGUUCAAUUCCUCCCUUCCUCG
rnacentral:tRNA from 1 species